ensembl:antisense_RNA Y37E11B.16 ncRNA
AUAAAAGCAAUUUCUAACUUCCCCAGAAUUGUUCAGGACUCGAUCGGGUGGAAGAAGAGUCUCCAUUCCAAC